GGGAAACAACGGAGUUUUAUAUCUAUUGCUAGGGGGAGCAUCGUUAUUUCAAAUACGUAAAAAAUACAGUAUUGCUAUACCAAAAUGUUUUGUACUUUUGUGCAAUACCUCAUAUUAAAAAAGAUAUUUCUAGAUUACUAAAAUAGCUACUUUCUUCUUUACAAAGAAUAAAUAGACCUAAUUGAGGCAAAAAUUAAAUUCAACAACAAGUCGGUCUUCGUUCACAUAACAGAUCGCAUAAUUAGAUUCUAGACUAGGCUUAGCCAACUCGGCUUCUUCGUCGGCGAGUGGUGAGUUGUUGUGUUGAGUGAGAUCUGAGAACAGGAUCCGAUGCAAUAGAAUAGAGUCAAGAUUGCAACUGAGGACACGAGAGUUGAGGACACCACCGGGUUCACGUAGGCCUACGUCUGUGAUGAUGAUAAUUCACCGACCAUUCCUUUCAUCGAAAGGGGGCCCAGCUAGUCUAACAUCAAGGUGAAGCAUGGUCAACCUCGAGUGAGACAUGAGGUCCAUCAAUCACCAACAAGGGACUUUGUUCUUAAGUUCCCAGUAUGAAGAUUCUUUGGAGCAACGCCCAAGGUCUGAAAAGGACAUUCAGAAAAAUUUCCUUUGUCCACAAUGGACUCGUCAGUUCAGGUUACAAAUUUUGUGGCGUUUUUGGCUGUAACUCCUUUUCACCGACUUGCACAAAUGUCGCAAAUGUUCAUGCACCAAUGCUCCAGCCAGGCAGUUUCAAUCACUUCUGCACAUCAUCUGUUCGGCAGAAAGGAGCUCCAGGUUUAAAAUCAAAGGAAGACCCCAGGACUAAAGAUUACUCCGAACUGUAUUUGUUACAAAGGAUAACAUUUUUACGUGUGCUGAGUCGUUUUACAAAAUAUUCUUCCCUUUUCUUUGUAGGAGGAGCACCAAUGUUACUUGCUGCAGCACAGAUAGAAGCAGUUUCUUGGGAUAAUGCUAUUUCUCUAAGUUCUGUGUUAGCAUUUUAUUCGCUUCUGUUCACUUGUCAAAGUAUUGUCUUUUCUUCAAAAGUCGUUGGAAAAAUAAUGAUCAGUUCCGACGAAAAAUUUCUGAAAAUAUCUCACUUAUCCAUCUUUGGGGCAAGGAGAGAUAUAUAUGUCAGUCCAAAUGAUUUGGUUCCCACAACAAGAGAUGUUUUUGCCAGUAAUAUUACAACUCUUAGAAUAAAAAACUUUAGUAAGACCUUGUUCUUUCUUCCAAAACAGGGAGGUCUGGACACAGAUUAUGAAGCUCUUGAAAAGCUUCUCAUUAGAUAAUAUGCGAGUGAUUAAGCAAGUAAUCAGUGAAGCUUGGAUUUUACAAUUAUUUAUGUACAUGUAGGCUAUAUAAAAUGAAUGUAUUUUUGCACUCUGUUGAUGUAGCUGUGAAGGAAACAAAGAUGAAAACUAAUGAACAUUACAAGAAUGUUUAAGUUCCAAGGACCCCUUUAGUAGGCUGUUUCAUAUAUAUUACUCUCGAGUCAACUGUUCCAUGCAAUAGGACAAUGUGUCGAAGUGUUGAUACCUACUACAGUGGAACUCGGAUUCAACGAGGUUGCCGGGCCUGACUUAAAAUCUCGUUGAAUCUGAGUGUUCGUUAUUAUAGCCAACACGAGGUUUUGUAUCAAUACUUACUACAGGCACUGAGCAAGUACAAUGUAAUGUAUGAGGAGAAGUCACAAGUAGUGCCUGAAAUGCCUGCAUAUUGUGAGCUGUGUAAAAAAAAAAGGCCGAUUCGUUCAAAUGCAUAAAAAGUUGUGUUGCUGUGUAGAGCCUAUAGCAUAUGGUAACUUUUGAUUCCGUAGACCAGCGCACAAUUUUUUACGUAGAUCUACGUCAAGACAAACUUAUCAUUGUAAUAAUGAUCAGUUGCCAAAGGGAAAAAAAA